UACGUAGGGCGCAAGCGUUAUCCGGAAUUAUUGGGCGUAAAGAGCUCGUAGGCGGUUUGUCGCGUCUGCUGUGAAAGACCGGGGCUCAACUCCGGUUCUGCAGUGGGUACGGGCAGACUAGAGUGCAGUAGGGGAGACUGGAAUUCCUGGUGUAGCGGUGAAAUGCGCAGAUAUCAGGAGGAACACCGGUGGCGAAGGCGGGUCUCUGGGCCGUAACUGACGCUGAGGAGCGAAAGCAUGGGGAGCGAACAGG
rnacentral:rRNA from 1 species